CGGGCGCGGGUGUAUGUGGGGUGUCUGCCCCCGAUUUUAAAUAAUGCCUGAAUAACAAGCUGUCUGUUUAUUACGCAGACUUUUAUCUGUAUUUUGUGUUAGUUGGGGAGCCUUAAUAAUGAACAAACUGCCCCCGACAUGCGACCUGGUUCCGAGGCGAUUCAGACAGGUCAUAAGUCGAAUUUGACGUAUGUCUGAACAGGAUAAUCGCACUGAAUUUUAGACGUGAAAAUGAGACUGGGAUAUGCGUGUUAGGAUGGGAGUACACUACAAGGGCGUAGAUUUGGCUAUGGAGGGUAUAAUCUUUAAAGUUCACGGAGGACAUGACGGGAAAGUAUGAAGCUCUACCGGACCGUCCGGGUUGGCGCGAGGCUUGUGACGUCCUGCUGCCGCCGCAGACAGCAAACAGCAAAGCCGUGUACAUCACUGCUUGGUGGCCUGACUCCUGGAAGAGGAUGAGGUUCAACAUGACGGCAUUAGCAUCUCUAUCCCAGGGACCUCCGGCAAACUUUGAUAAAGAAGGAAGACUUUGGGUGCACAGGCCCCCCCCCGGCAUUCCUCAGCCAC